GCGAAGGUGGCGGAAUUAGUAGACGCGCUAGCUUCAGGUGUUAGUGUUCUUACGGACGUGGGGGUUCAAGUCCCCCCCCUCGCACCA
rnacentral:tRNA from 6 species